GAUGAACGCUGGCGGCGUGCCUAGUACAUGCAAGUCGAGCGAAUGGAUUAAGAGCUUGCUCUUAUGAAGUUAGCGGCGGACGGGUGAGUAACACGUGGGUAACCUGCCCAUAAGACUGGGAUAACUCCGGGAAACCGGGGCUAAUACCGGAUAACAUUUUGAACCGCAUGGUUAGAAAUUGAAAGGCGGCUUCGGCUGUCACUUAUGGAUGGACCCGCGUCGCAUUAGCUAGUUGGUGAGGUAACGGCUCACCAAGGCAACGAUGCGUAGCCGACCUGAGAGGGUUAUCGGCCACACUGGGACUGAGACACGGCCCAGACUCCUACGGGAGGCAGCAGUAGGGAAUCUUCCGCAAUGGACGAAAGUCUGACGGAGCAACGCCGCGUGAGUGAUGAAGGCUUUCGGGUCGUAAAACUCUGUUGUUAGGGAAGAACAAGUGCUAGUUGAAUAAGCUGGCACCUUGACGGUACCUAACCAGAAAGCCACGGUUAACUACGUGCCAGCAGCCGCAGUAA
rnacentral:rRNA from 1 species